GAUGAACGCUGGCGGCGUGCUUAACACAUGCAAGUCGAACGGAAAGGCCCUGCUUUUGUGGGGUGCUCGAGUGGCGAACGGGUGAGUAACACGUGAGUAACCUGCCCUUGACUUUCGGAUAACUUCAGGAAACUGGGGCUAAUACCGGAUAGGAGCUCCUGCUGCAUGGUGGGGGUUGGAAAGUUUCGGCGGUUGGGGAUGGACUCGCGGCUUAUCAGCUUGUUGGUGGGGUAGUGGCUUACCAAGGCUUUGACGGGUAGCCGGCCUGAGAGGGUGACCGGCCACAUUGGGACUGAGAUACGCACCAGACUCCUACGGGAGGCAGCAGUGGGGAGUAUUGCACAAUGGGCGGAAGCCUGAUGCAGCAACGUCGCGUGCGGGAUGACGGCCUUCGGGUUGUAAACCGCUUUCGCCUGUGACGAAGCGUGAGUGACGGUAAUGGGUAAAGAAGCACCGGCUAACUACGUG
rnacentral:rRNA from 1 species